UACGGUAGGUGGCAAGCGUUGUCCGGAUUUACUGGGCGUAAAGAGCGCGCAGGCGGUCGUCCAAGUCGCGUGUGAAAGCCCCCGGCUCAACUGGGGAGGGUCACGCGAUACUGGUCGACUCGAAGGCAGGAGAGGGUAGUGGAAUUCCCGGUGUAGUGGUGAAAUGCGUAGAUAUCGGGAGGAACGACCAGUGGCGAAGGGCGAA
rnacentral:rRNA from 1 species